AGAAUUCAUAAUUUAAGACUCUCUCUCUUCUUUCUCGGCUCUUUGCCUCUUCCUCUUCUUAUUUGCACGACUCUUCCUUUCUCCAAUUCUUCAUGUCCUGGUUCAGUUGCCUCUAUCCCUACAAAAAUCAAAGAGCCACAACUAUUAAAUGAAAGAAAGAGGUCUUUGUCCUUGGAACAAGACCCAAACUCCCAUUGGAGCCGUUCUCUUCCCCGGCUACAGUAUUAACCCAGACCCAGAGCGACGAGUCCGUACAAAAAGGUGAUACAAUGAAGAUUGAGGAAGCAAAGAGCACAUACUCCUAAGGAAAUAUAUCAAUUGGUGUUGGGUGAAGAUAAUCCCAUGGUGGAGGGUUCUUAGAAGCAAAAAAGACGAUUUCUAGAGAGUCCUCAAAUUCUACAGUGGCACCUAAGAAGGAAAAGGCUCCUCCUCCGUCCUCAAAGCCAGCCAAUCUAGCGGAGGAAAGUAGAAGAAGAAGAAAUGGAGCAAGGGAAAGCAAAAGGAGAAGGUGAACAACAUGGUUUUGUUUGAUCAGGGAACCUAUGACAAGCUCCUUGUGGAAGCUCCAAAGUACAAGCUUAUCACACCUUCCAUCUUGUUCGACAGAUUGAGGAUUAGUACAUCAAUCUUUGGCAUCCACAUCCAAUUGAAGGCUUCCCUAGCAGGUUUUAUUCCAAAAGUUUUGGUAGCCAUAGUUGCCCCUUUUUCCAAUCCUCAACUAAAAAAAUUCCCGCUAUUUCGAUUUUGCUAGUCCUUGGGACCAGCGUAGCGACGGAGAGUGAGUGCACCGCAAGACCAGACAAGUGACUCCCUCGCCUCGCAACGGCGGCAUCUGUCUUUUAAGUUAAGUCAUUUCCUAAGAUGGCUCCUUUUAUUCUACGAUAAUCCAAGCAGCAGCUCCACGAGUCCGCCCGGAAUCAGUCGAUUCUUGAGCUAUUCGUUCUCCCCUCUCGGUUGGCGUUUGCCAGCCACUAGAGCAAGUAAGAGAACCUGCUUUUAAUGGCUUUGACCUUCAACCAAUUCCCACUCUUCCAACGAGAAGUCAAGACCUAACAAAAGAAGUAAACCUGAAGUGUUACUCAUUUUAUUGGUUAAACACAUAAUUUCUAAAGUUCUUAGUUGCUACUGGUUGGACUUUUUGGUUUUCAAAUUCUGUGGUGAAUGUGAUGUGAGAGCAUGUUUUUUUCUGGUAGGGAUUUCAUCUGAUGUAGCAGCAGCUGCUGCAAUAAAGAUGGGAAAGGGUCUUAAUGAUAGAAAAGUCAUUGUUUUGCUAUAAGUCUUAUUGCCUUCUUCAAAUUAAUAUAGAAUCUCUAUAUCAUGUUAUUAUAUUAUGAUAAUCAGUUUAGGAUAUUUUAAUUGAAGUUUCACUUCAAAAUCCCUUUGAAUAUGCUUAUGAUGACUCCCUUUGUACUCCUCCUGAUGGUAACAUUGAUUUUCGAACAGUAUAUGGGGUUCCAGCAGGAAGGGCAUAAAAUAUAGCCAGAGAUUUGAGUUUUGCUUUUGCUAGAGACUUUGCUGGCAAGAAAAAGGGAAGGGGUAGCCAUGGUUCAUGGGGUUUUGGAUGGUUCACUCACUGACUACAUUGUUCAGUUCCAAAGCCGAAGGAGUUGAUGGAUUUAGCAAUUUUUGGAGAAGAUUAAUAUGAACUAAUUGUAUUUGAUUGAUGAUAGUAUAGACUUCAUUAUUA